AUUGAACGCUGGCGGCAGGCCUAAUACAUGCAAGUCGAACGCGUGGCGCACGGGUGUGUAACGCUUGGGAACCUGGUCUAUGGAGGGGGUUAACGACGGGAAACUGUCGUAAUAACCGCUAACCAUAGGAUGAGCCCUAGUGGGAUUAGGUAGUUGGUGGGGUAAUGGCCUACCAAGCCGACGAUCUCUAGCGGGUCUGAGAGGGUGACCAGCCACACCGGAACUGAGACACGGCCCAGACUCCUACGGGAGGCAGCAGUGGGGAAUAUUGCGCAAUGGGGGCAACCUGACGCAGCAAUGCCGCGUGAGUGAGGAAGGCCUUCGGGUUGUAAAGUUCUUUCGGUGACGAGGCGUUAAUCACAGAGGAAGCAACGGCUAACUCCGUGCCAGCAGCCGCGGUAAUAC
rnacentral:rRNA from 1 species